AGACCCGAAACCCGGUGAUCUAGCCAUGGGCAGGUUGAAGGUUGGGUAACACUAACUGGAGGACCGAACCGACUAAUGUUGAAAAAUUAGCGGAUGACCUGUGGCUGGGGGUGAAAGGCCAAUCAAACCGGGAGAUAGCUGGUUCUCCCCGAAAGCUAUUUAGGUAGCGCCUCGUGAAUUCAUCUCCGGGGGUAGAGCACUGUUUCGGCUAGGGGGCCAUCCCGGCUUACCAACCCGAUGCAAACUGCGAAUACCGGAG
rnacentral:rRNA from 1 species